GAUGAACGCUGGCGGCGUGCCUAAUACAUGCAAGUCGAGCGAACGGACGAGAAGCUUGCUUCUCUGAUGUUAGCGGCGGACGGGUGAGUAACACGUGGAUAACCUACCUAUAAGACUGGGAUAACUUCGGGAAACCGGAGCUAAUACCGGAUAAUAUUUUGAACCGCAUGGUUCAAAAGUGAAAGACGGUCUUGCUGUCACUUAUAGAUGGAUCCGCGCUGCAUUAGCUAGUUGGUAAGGUAACGGCUUACCAAGGCAACGAUGCAUAGCCGACCUGAGAGGGUGAUCGGCCACACUGGAACUGAGACACGGUCCAGACUCCUACGGGAGGCAGCAGUAGGGAAUCUUCCGCAAUGGGCGGAAGCCUGACGGAGCAACGCCGCGUGAGUGAUGAAGGUCUUCGGAUCGUAAAACUCUGUUCUUAGGGAAGAACAUAUGUGUAAGUAACUGUGCACAUCUUGACGGUACCUAAUCAGAAAGCCACGGCUAACUACGUGCCAGCAGCCGCGGUAAUACGUAGGUGGCAAGCGUUAUCCGGAAUUAUUGGGCGUAAAGCGCGCGUAGGCGGUUUUUUAAGUCUGAUGUGAAAGCCCACGGCUCAACCGUGGAGGGUCAUUGGAAACUGGAAAACUUGAGUGCAGAAGAGGAAAGUGGAAUUCCAUGUGUAGCGGUGAAAUGCGCAGAGAUAUGGAGGAACACCAGUGGCGAAGGCGACUUUCUGGUCUGUAACUGACGCUGAUGUGCGAAAGCGUGGGGAUCAAACAGGAUUAGAUACCCUGGUAGUCCACGCCGUAAACGAUGAGUGCUAAGUGUUAGGGGGUUUCCGCCCCUUAGUGCUGCAGCUAACGCAUUAAGCACUCCGCCUGGGGAGUACGACCGCAAGGUUGAAACUCAAAGGAAUUGACGGGGACCCGCACAAGCGGUGGAGCAUGUGGUUUAAUUCGAAGCAACGCGAAGAACCUUACCAAAUCUUGACAUCCUUUGACAACUCUAGAGAUAGAGCCUUCCCCUUCGGGGGACAAAGUGACAGGUGGUGCAUGGUUGUCGUCAGCUCGUGUCGUGAGAUGUUGGGUUAAGUCCCGCAACGAGCGCAACCCUUAAGCUUAGUUGCCAUCAUUAAGUUGGGCACUCUAAGUUGACUGCCGGUGACAAACCGGAGGAAGGUGGGGAUGACGUCAAAUCAUCAUACCCCUUAUGAUUUGGGCUACACACGUGCUACAAUGGACAAUACAAAGGGCAGCGAAACCGCGAGGUCAAGCAAAUCCCAUAAAGUUGUUCUCAGUUCGGAUUGUAGUCUGCAACUCGACUACAUGAAGCUGGAAUCGCUAGUAAUCGUAGAUCAGCAUGCUACGGUGAAUACGUUCCCGGGUCU
rnacentral:rRNA from 1 species